AGCAGCCGCGGUAAUUCCAGCUCCAAUAGCGUAUAUUAAAGUUGUUGCAGUUAAAAAGCUCGUAGUUGAAUUUCGGGAUCAGUUCGUCGGUCGUGCCUUUGGUAUGUACUGGUGUUACUGGUUCCUCCCUUCUGACGAACCGUCAUGUCAUUAAUUUGGUGUGGCGGGAAAUCAGGACUGUUACUUUGAAAAAUUAGAGUGUUUAAAGCAGGCUCGCGCUUGAAUACAUUAGCAUGGAAUAAUGAAAUAGGACGUUCGAUCCUAUUUUGUUGGUUUCUAGGAUUGACGUAAUGAUUAAUAGGGAUAGUUGGGGGCAUUAGUAUUCAAUUGUCAGAGGUGAAAUUCUUGGAUUUAUUGAAGACUAACUACUGCGAAAGCAUUUGCCAAGGAUGUUUUCAUUAAUCAAGAACGAAAGUUAGGGGAUCGAAGACGAUCAGAUACCGUCGUAGUCUUAACCAUAAACUAUGCCGACUAGGGAUCGGAUGAUGUUUAAUUUUUAAUGUACUCAUUCGGCGCCUUA
rnacentral:misc_RNA from 1 species